CGGACGUGAGCAAUCUGCCUUUAGGGGGGAGGUAAAAGUCGGAAACGGGCUGCUAAUACCGCAUAAAGCAUCGAAACCGCAUGAUUUUGAUGCCAAAGGAGCAAUCCGCUUUUAGAUGAGCUCGCGUCUGAUUAGCUGAUUGGCGGGGUAACGGCCCACCAAGGCGACGAUCAGUAGCCGGACUGAGAGGUUGAACGGCCACAUUGGGACUGAGACACGGCCCAG
rnacentral:rRNA from 1 species